GCGGAAGUGGUGAAAUUGGUAGACACGCUAUCUUGAGGGGGUAGUGCCUCGUUUGGCGUGCGGGUUCAAGUCCCGCCUUCCGCA
rnacentral:tRNA from 2 species